GCAGUUCUGAGCACAGUACAC
rnacentral:miRNA from 1 species